rnacentral:rRNA from 1 species
AUGGCUAGCACUUUUACCCCUCCUUUGUCUCCUGACUUUGAGGUCCUUCAUUUCAAACAAAGACAAGGAGAAAAUUUUAUGGAUGCUUGGUAUAGGAUGAUAGAAUCCUAUCGUAAUUGCACUAUAGAGGGGGAUUUCAAGAUUUUAGUUUGUAAUUUUUAUGUUGGGCUAAAUAUGUCUCAUAGGAAACUUUUGGAUUUCGCUGCUAAAGGGAAUUUUACUGAAAUAGAUCCCAACAUUGCUUAUGAAAUAAUAGAGGGGAUAGUAGGAAUAUUUCCCGCACAAAAGGGAUUACAUCAAACUCAAGAGGGAACACAAGUUUUUGAGAAACUAUGUGAAGUAACCAAAAUUUUGCAAAAAUCUCUUGAGCCCCUCAAAAAUGUUAGUGGAAACCUCCACCGCAUGAAUAUGUUGAUCACUCUUUGCAAUAAGCGGUUGGAUGCUCUAGAUAUUAAGAUUUCUGAAUAUGAGGAGAAACGCAAAGAACCUCCUGGAUUUGAGCAUAAUUCCAUUAAAAAGAUAAAGACCAAAGAUGACAAUACCUAG